rnacentral:tRNA from 1 species
UCCUCCUUAGCUCAGUCGGUAGAGCGACGGACUGUUAAUCCGCAGGUCGCUGGUUCGAGCCCAGCAGGAGNGAC